rnacentral:rRNA from 1 species
AACGAACGCUGGCGGCAUGCCUAACACAUGCAAGUCGAACGAGACCUUCGGGUCUAGUGGCGCACGGGUGCGUAACGCGUGGGAACCUGCCCUUAGGUUCGGAAUAACUCCCCGAAAGGGGUGCUAAUACCGGAUAAUGUCUUCGGACCAAAGAUUUAUCGCCUUUGGAUGGGCCCGCGUUGGAUUAGCUAGUUGGUAGGGUAAAAGCCUACCAAGGCGACGAUCCAUAGCUGGUCUGAGAGGAUGAUCAGCCACACUGGGACUGAGACACGGCCCAGACCACAUCGGGGGGGAGGAGGGGGGAAAUAUUGAACAAGGGGCAAAGGCCGGACACACAAUGGCCGGGGGAGUGUAAAGGCCUUUGGGGUUGAAAACUUUUUUUCCCGGGGAGAAAAAGCAGAUUCGGGGAAAAAAAGCCCCCGCCAACCCCCGUC